rnacentral:rRNA from 1 species
AACGAACGCUGGCGGCAGGCCUAACACAUGCAAGUCGAGCGAGAACUUCGGUUCUAGCGGCGGUCGUGUGAUUACCGCGUGGGAAUGUGCCCUUCUCUACGGUAUACCCCUGGGAAACUUGGCUUCAUACCGUUUACGCCCUAUUGGGGUAAGAUUUAUCGGAGAAGGAUCAGCCCGCGUUGGAUUCGGUAGUUGGUGGGGUAAUGGCCUACCAAGCAGACGAUGCAUAGCUGGUUUGAGACGAGGAUCAUCCACACUGGGACUGAGACACGGACCAGACUCCUACGGGAGGCAGCAGUGGGGAAUCUUAGACAAGGGGGGCAACCCUGAUCUAGCCAUGCCGCGGGAGAGAUGAAGGCCUUAGGGUUGUAAAGCUCUUUCAGCUGGGAAGAUAAUGACGGUACCAGCAGAAGAAGCCCCGGCUAACUCCGUG